rnacentral:rRNA from 1 species
CGGCCACACUGGGACUGAGACACGGCCCAGACUCAUACGGGAGGCAGCAGUGGGGAAUUUUUCGCAAUGGGCGAAAGCCUGACGAAGCAACGCCGCGUGGAGGAUGAAGGCCUUCGGGUCGUAAACUCCUGUCGACUGGGACGAAAGUAGUNUGGCCCAAUACGCCAGGCUAUCGACUGUACCGGUGGAGGAAGCCACGGCUAACUCUGUGCCAGCAGCCGCGGUAAUACAGAGGUGGCAAGCGUUGUUCGGAAUUACUGGGCGUAAAGGGCGCGUAGGCGGUUCCGUAAGUUCCGUGUGAAAUCCCCCGGCUCAACCGGGGAAUGGCGCGGAAAACCGCGGGGCUUGAGUUCGGGAGAGGGAAGCGGAAUUCCGGGUGUAGCGGUGAAAUGCGUAGAUAUCCGGAGGAACACCGGUGGCGAAGGCGGCUUCCUGGACCGACACUGACGCUGAGGCGCGAAAGCUAGGGGAGCAAACGGGAUUAGAUACCCCGGUAGUCCUAGCUGUAAACGAUGAGUGCUGGGUGUAGGGGGUAUCAACCCCCCCUGUGCCGAAGCUAACGCAUUAAGCACUCCGCCUGGGGAGUAACGGUCGCAAGGCUGAAACUCAAAGGAAUUGAACGGAA